GAAAGAGGAGGCAAGCGUUAUCCGGAAUUACUGGGCGUAAAGCGUCCGUAGGUGGUCUGACAAGUCUGGGGUUAAAGCCCGGAGCCUAACUCCGGAUCAGCCCUGGAAACUGCCAGACUAGAGUAAGGUAGGGGUUGCGGGAAUUACCGGUGUAGCGGUGAAGUGCGUAGAUAUCGGGAAGAACACCAGUGGCGAAAGCGCGCAACUGGGCCAUUACUGACACUGAGGGACGAAAGCUAGGGGAGCGAAUGGG
rnacentral:rRNA from 1 species